UUUAUUAUAUAUUUUAUGUUUAUUUUUUCGUACCACUGUAUGAAAAAUCCAAAAACACCAACAAACUAACAACACUUAGCCGGCAAAUAAAUGAAUGUCAUUCAAAAGAUGGCUUUGUUAACACAAAACACAAAAGGUAAAGGUUGUAGGAGAGUAAGAGAGAAAAUGAGAGCGCAAAAAACUUUUCCACACAGCAAAAUGGCAAUUGCAGUGAGUGUUGAGUGUAAAAGCUCAAGCACGCAGCUUUUACGCUUACCACUUUUCCGCGAUGAAGCAUUGCAGCCGAUACACGAGUGUUGGAACAGUUGCUGCGCGAUUACGGAACGGAACGGUUGUAAGCGGAAAAACCCCAAGCAUAGCCGUGUACUUGACAAUAUUUUGCUGGUGAAUUUUUUUCUUCCUCUUGGACGAACUCACCACCCAAACGCAGAGUGGUGUGAGUGCGCGCGUGUGUUUGUCGCCAGGGGGUGGCAGCUCCAUAUUAAUGCCUAGCAAUUGUUGCCUUGUUAGUGUGCAGUGUUCGAGUGUGUAUAUGUGAAAACGUAAGCAGCAAAGGAUGUAUAAGAAAAAAACAACAAAAACAGCAAUAAUACGAGUGUGUACCGAAACAGCUGUGACAAGCGAUGGCAAUUUUCGAAGUUUGUUUCAGCGCUGAAUUUAAAAGCGUGUGUUAAAUCAAAGUGAGCUUGUUACUGUGACUGUGUCUGUGUGGGUUGUGUGUGGACAUUUUGUUUUGUGUACAUGCAUACGCAUACAUACAUACGCGCGUGUUUAAUGAACAUACUCCGGGCAGCCGGUCGAAAAUAUGGGGUGAACACACACACACACACCUACAACCAACCAAAAUCAAAGCGUGUGCAAUAAAAUAAAAUAUGCGAAACAUUGUGGAUUUUUCAGUUUACAGCGCAUAACGGUAUGCUAUGUGUGGCACGAAUAAUGCCAGCGGAUUAAUAAACUGCAGACGAAAGGAUUAUUGCCGACAGCGUCAACGCACAAAAAGUGUUGCAUAUUUUAUGGCGUUGCGAGGCGAGUGAACAGCAUUAGAAAGAGAAAGAGUUACGCUUAAAAAUAGCAGAUUACGUAAACUUGCUGCACCAAAACACGCCAAAGUGCAUUUAAGUGAAAAAAAACCAUAAAAUAAAAUCUCCAUUGAAAGAAGGGAUUUAUUUAUUUGGAAUUUCAAGCAAUGGAUGUGCCUAUUUUAUAGCCGCUUGUGAGCGCGAGUGAUUUAAGCAGCGCAAAUAUUUGCCAGCCAACCAAAAAGCGUAAAAUAAAAGCAAAAAAACACAAAAAAUCCUCUACUCGCCGUGAAGUGCGGCAGGCGAGGCACAAAUACGUGUACGCUGUACGUGGAAGCAUCCGUGUUGUAACCUUGACAUGCGGCCUACAGCCAGCCAGCCAGCCCUUUAAACACAUACACACAGCCAUGCAAGCAUAUGUGUAGUGUACCGUUAGUGUGUGUGUAUAUGUGAACGUGCAACCUGCGGCCUACAUUCAAAAGCGAAUCGAGCAGACGAAAACGCAAAGAACGGCAGACGCAUAACGGCACAUAGCGGCAGACGAGCAGUCACUUCCUUAGCGUCACUGCCUGCUACACACCCUCGCACGCGCAGGCAAACACGCAGAGACGCUCAAGCAGCGUUAAAAGUACCAUUUAUGUGCGUGUGCAUAUUUUAUACAUAAACCUUGGUGUAUCUCACAUAUAUGUACGUAAAUAUAUAUGCAUGUGUGUGUGAAAGCUCGUCGCUUACGUAUGUAGGUACUCAGCUCGUCGGCUCCAGCAGUCUGUAAUUACUUUAGUUUCAUUUGUGUUUUCGUUUUUGUCACAACUGUCGAGUGGCAGACAAAAAGGCAACGGACAGUGGUCACGUGUGUGUGUGUGUAUAGUGUAUAAUUUGCCAAGUUGACGACUUGAAGUGUGGACUGCAGACCAAAAUAUAUAAAAAAAUUAAAUUUGUUAAAAAUAACAAAAAUAAAAACAAAUAAUAAAUUUAAUAAAAACUUGUGCUUUGUGUGCUCAAAAAUCGCGUCCGUUAUAAAAAAUUCCCCUUCGAUUUAGUUUUGUACCGUUAAGGCUCCUACUAGUUAGCGCUUCGUUUUGUUACCGCUUUGACGGCACUGUGAUGUACUUAUUCCCGUUACAUAACGCCUGUUACUUCAUCUCUCCACUUCAUCUCCGUAAACUACGUUCUCUACACCAGCAACGACUACAACAACAACAACAUCAUCUUCAUCUCCACCAAAAACGUCUCGAAACUCUACACUACCAGCUGGGAUUUUAUCUUCAAAACUCAAUCAUAGCCGAUGCUUUUGAAACAUGCCCAAACAAAGCAAUGUUGCCACGAUUACCGCUGCGACAGACGAUGGCGCUGUGAAGCCGCAUGAGUCCACUUUGAACGGUGGCGAUAAUAUCAUAACCAUCAGCACAAGCAGCAUCACCGACGAGUGCCACUCAUCAGCGCUCGACGAACAUUCGUUAAAACCGCCCGCAACAUCACCGAAAUCAACAACAGACAGUAACGAAACUGCCGAUCGUCAGCAUUCCUGCACAUAUUUGAAACCUACAGCUUCAGCGAUCGCCGUCUCCAAUACAGUAGCGACCAGUAACGCCGCGGAGCCCGCAACACAAACUCGCGCUUCCCCACAGUGUUGUGAUCUGUCGCGUUGCAUUUCGUAUCAAGAGAAUAUCGCCGAUGUGCAUCAUCGUCGCGGUCGUCGUUUGCAUGGCUUACAAUUGCCGCUACAUCCGCUACAAGUAUUCGGUUGGCUUGUGCUCAUACUCUUCGGUGUAGCCACAUUCUGUGUACUAAUACCGUCGUUCUCGAGUGAUAUACAGGGUCCACUGUACGGUCUUGUCGGCGGUUUGUUUGUCGUUCACGUGGUGUCACAUUUGACCGCACUGCUUACCGAUCCCGCCGAUCGUGAGCUGCAACGCGUGCAUCGCAACGAUCGCAUAGUGCCGGAAUUCGACCGCAACCGUCACGCGCAUGUCAUUGAAAACGGUCGCUGUCAUUUGUGUAAUAUACGCACUUCGUCGCAGCGCACAAAACACUGUUCGGUUUGUAAUAAGUGCGUCGGCAAGUUCGAUCAUCACUGCAAAUGGUUGAAUCACUGUAUCGGUUCGCGUAAUUAUGCGGCAUUUCUAAUGUGUGUGGUCAGUGCAGUGGCCGCGACGGUGGUCAUAGUCGCAGCCGUGGUGGCGCAAAUUGUGCUCUACUACGUCCAUCCCGAAUGGCUGAGCUUCUGGCAGUCCACAGACGCAAAUGUAACCAACGUAGCAAGCGGCUACCCCGCUGCGGUGCUCUACGCACGCAAUGCCAGCACGCUUAAUGAUACAACAGCCGAAGCUGGCAAUGCCACGGCCAACAUUGAAUUCGCCACAAAUGUUACCGCCAAUAUUAGCGCUUAUCUGCUGGAUACCGAUUUGUUGCCGGAUAAUGGGACGCUGCCAGCACUUGCUGAGAACGUGAGUACACUGAUUGCGGACACAAUCAACGACACCCUGCUGUUGCACUUGAAUCAAACAUACAGUGGAGCCGGCACAACGUCGGACGCGGCAGGCGUCACUUCGACCAGUAAUGUUACAGUGGCCACCAUAGCCGGCAUUGGUGUGAGCGAUACAAUAUUUUUGGUGCUUAUUGGUUUGUUGGGUCUGCUGGCCGCUAUUACCGCUGGAUUGCUGAUGCAUCUCUGCUUUUUCCAUAUAUACAUCUCAUUUUUGGGACUUACGACCUACGAGUACAUACGCAACCAUCGGCAAGCGCAGGAGCUCAAAGCCAAAGAAGCCAACGCCAAACAGCCAAAAAAAGAUCAUCAACAUUACCCUUUGACUCCGUCCAAAAAGACUAACGACUGUGGCCAAAUAUACUUUUGUUCAAGCGCACGACAUCCGAACGCCAUCAAUCCCGCUGAUGUGCAUUAUUUUGAAGCGCGUAAACCGCCGCCAAAACGCGAUGACAGUCCGCGCUCGCGUUUACAUUGCUGCGUUAAUUCCCGGGAAUAUCAUCAGUCCGCUUCAAAGACAUACUACAUGUGUUCGCUGCUCGAGGAGAACGCGGUGCAGUCGCCGCUUGCAAUAUCGCAUAUUAGCGGUGGCGACAGCACCAGAGCCGGGCGCAUGUACGAUGCAAGCGACACCGCUGAAGCAACAGAGAGAGGAUACAAGACCUUCCAUUGCUGUUCUUCAUUCGGCGCGAUGGCGACGCAACGUCGUGUCAGCGCUGCAACGUCCAAAGCCACAUUGGUCAGCGAUUUGGAGGCGAUAAGCGCGCGUCGCUCAUACAUGCAGUACACCGAGCAAUGUACGUUGUGUACCUUUCGCAUACGUAGUCCCAUAGUGAGUAAACGUGUCGGCGAUGUAAGCGCACGUACGGCCAGUGCCAAGCAACGCAGCGCCCAUGGACCGAGAGAGUUGAGUCCAACGCCGCGUACCGUUUCGGCGAGUUCGAAAGUGGUUAAUAGCGAGCAUCAACGCUGUUGUAUGAAGUCGAUAUCGAAGAAUCAGCGUUGGCGUCGAAAAUGGAAUUGUUGCUCGAAUGUGCCCGACAGUCCCGAUGUGCCGAAUGAUAUUAUCGCCGCAUUGGCGAUGCGUCACCAACACAGCACUGCCACCAGCAGCGGCAAGAAAGUAAAUGCCACAGAGAUACCAGUGCAUUUCAUUAAAACAGUCAAUGGUAGCGGCAGCGGUGAUAGCAGCACUGCCAGCCUCAGUGGUAGCCGCCCAACUUCUCCACGCAGUGCCAAUCUCAAAGCAAGUUCACGCGUACGCCACACACGCACCUGGCCAAUGCCACGCCUGCGACACAUGAUGCGUAUGCUCGGCCGUUAUCGUCGCACGCGUUGUCGUCAAACGGACGUCAACAAUGCAAUUAGUAGCGUUGAUGAGCAUCAGGUGAAACAAAAUCAAAUCCGCCCAUUACAUUUGCAGCCUAGCGGCAAUGGCGCCUACAGCCGUCAACAUCUUAAUAAUCACCAACAAGCGCAACAACAUUACAACGACAGCAGCUCACCACAGCCGCCCUCAUCCACAACGACAGCAUCGGAGCGUAGCGAUCAGAGCCUCUACAGUGAUUCGAGUAAUCUCACAACCCCCUCAGGUCAGACGCCCAAUGCCAUUGAAACGAUUCUGCCCACAUCAGUGAUACGUGACGACACGUCCAUGACAUAUACGACACCCAUGGGUAUCACAUUGCCACCGGCCUUGCCACCACCGACGCGUCGCAAAAUACCGAAUCCUACAAAUUUGGAAGAGCUCGCAGAGACACUGAGUUUUGUCUCGCAUUCGUCGGGCGGCAGUUCGGGCACGCUAUCGCCGGUGCAAAGACUUCCUACGCUGAGCAACGUUUAUCGCCGUCAGCGACGCAAACAUUUCUUACGUACACGUUCACCAACUUUGUCGCCAAUACACGAGACCGGUCUGUCGAAUCCAACAUCACCGCAACCGGGUCGCCAUAAUGCAAGCGCCACCGGCUCAAAUGCCGCUGUUUCGUCGGGUCUCUCUUGCGAUUCAGCUGAGUUGGCGCGUAAGAAUUCAUCGAAUAGUUCGCUACAUAGCGUUAGUUCCAAUUCUAGCAGUACUUAAAUAUUCAGAAAUUAUUAUUUUUUAUAUUUCAACUGUGGAAUCAUAUUGAAGAGUCGUGUAAGAUGUAAAGUUGUAAAAUUCCGUAACAAAAGCUCAAGAUGGAGAAUGAAGUCGUCGCGCCCACACCAACCAAUGCCAGUUCCACACCUACAACAACUACAACACCGCCGACCGAAGUACAAACAGCAAAAAGUGAUACAGCAGCAA